GACGGACAAGGCUUACGCUGACCUUCCAAAAAGAGGUGGCUGAAAGGUUAACAGCCAGCACAGGAAGCCGUCAACGCAGCCGCCUGUCUGUCAUGGCUCAGUAUCUCUGCACUGUCAAAAACUGUUUCACCAUCCCAGGAUGUGCCUUUGUUCCAAAACCUAAAUUUAUUUGCUUCACAGAUCUGUGGUGGUGUGGAUGCCAUCUGUGUUGAAGAGGCUUACCCUAGAGAGGACUGCUCACGUCUUUUGAAAUCAGCAUUAGUUUGUGUGUGUGUGUGUGUGUGUAUUGGCUGUGGAGUCUGCAUACUACCUUAAAUGUCAACCUGGUAUCAAAAGGAUGUAGUUUUUCCGGGAUUAACAAUAAGAAUGGUCUAGGUUUUAGGCAAGUUCAUGGAUCAGCAUCUUGCCCUUUUGCAUUUGAUUCAGCAGUGUCUCAGCAAAUCUUAAAUUUGUUCAUGUACAGCCAUAUUUAUGCCUUGCAAAUUCUACUGAUUUGUCAGAUUGAUAACGAUCAGUAAGCGGCUAACUUACAAAAUGUUCAUUGUAAAUAUGGUCGUUUUAUAUAACGUUUUAUAUAUAAAAAUUGACUGUUUGUAAUUCCAGUUAGAGGUGUCUGUAGCAUAAAGCCAGUUCAUCUGGCUAGGCGGGAAAGUUAGAUUAGUUUGCACCAAUCAAAUUAGGGACUGAUGAAAUCACUCUUGGUCACACUAGGUUCUCUUGAUGCACAUGAAAUAUCAUUUAAACUAAAAUAAUUGGAAUAAAAAUAAUCAACACUAAAAGCAUUUUUAGUGUCUUUUUGUCUGUCUAUCUAUUUGUUUAAUUAUACCUUAGUUUAUUAUAUUUUAGCAAUUAAUAUUAUGCUCAGUUUAAUUUUAAGUAUAGAGUCAUGUGGAAAAGUUAGGACUGAAUUCCAUGGUUUCCAUAUCAGGACAUAAUAAAAACAUUUUCGCAGUUCUAAAAAUUUUGAAAAAUAAAACUUCACAUGAACAACAACAUAUCACACGUUGCACCAUUUCAUUAUUUAUUUAACAAAAAAAGGCCAAAAUGGAAAAGCCAUGUGUGACAAAGUUCACCCAGUGGUAACAUAGGACUUAAGAGUAAACAGCAGUUAAGCUAUUAUUAAUCUAACAGCUUUGAUUAAUCAUCAGCAAGUAAGUUUUAGCAGUUUGCUGGUCUGGACCGUUCAGGUGUGUGUUAACACAAUGACAAGGAGGUAAGACACCAGCAAUGACCUUAGAGAAGCAAUUGUUGCUGCUAUUAAUCUGAGAAGACUAAUAUGGCCAGUCCAUCAUUUUACAGUGAGGUAGAUUAUCCACAAGUGGAAGACAUUCAAAACACCAGCCUUGCCAGGAGUGUACAUCCCAGCAGAUUCACCUCAAGAUCAGACUGUAACGCUCAGAGAAAUGGCAGACAACCCAAGAACUUCAUCCCAACAGGCCUCAGUUAACAUUGAUAAAGUUCAAGACAAGUACACUGCAGCGUGGUUUAGGUUUGCAAAGUUGCAUUUGACAUGUUACAAAGAAGAGUGGGUUCAAGUUAUUGCUGCUAAAAGUGGAACUACAGGUAAUUAAUCCAUAGGGUGUUCUAACUUUGUCAUUUAUAGCUUUUCCAUUUUUUAUUUAUUUUGUUAAAUAAAUGAUGACACGGUGUGAUAUGUCAUCUGAUGUAGUUUACCUGAGGUUCUAUUUUUCAAAUUUUAAGAACUGACA